UUGCAAACUCGAUCACUGGCUCUGCAUGCUGUGGCAGAAGCAAGGGGAACAGGUUUGCUAAAGUAAUUAUGGUAACAGAACAAUAAUGGUCUUAGAAAUAAUAAUACUAAGGCUGUUCAUUCUGUGCCAUAACAAUA